rnacentral:rRNA from 1 species
UACGGAAGGUGCAAGCGUUGUUCGGAAUGACUGGGCGUAAAGCGCACGUAGGCGGGUUUUUAAGUCGAUUGUGAAAGCCCCGGGCUCAACCUGGGAUUGGCAGUCGAAACUGGAGAUCUUGAAUGCCUAAGAGGUUAGUGGAAUUUGUGGUGUAGGAGUGAAAUCCGUAGAGAUCACAAGGAACACCAGAGGCGAAGGCGACUGGCUGGUGGUGCAUUGACGCUGAUGUGCGAAAGCGUGGGUAGCAAACAGG